CAGCAGUAGGGAAUCUUCCACAAUGGACGCAAGUCUGAUGGAGCAACGCCGCGUGAAUGAAGAAGGCCUUCGGGUCGUAAAAUUCUGUUGUUAGAGAAGAACAUGCAGGAGAGUAACUGUUCUUGUAUUGACGGUAUCUAACCAGAAAGCCACGGCUAACUACGUGCCAGCAGCCGCGGUAAUACGUAGGUGGCAAGCGUUGUCCGGAUUUAUUGGGCGUAAAGGGAACGCAGGCGGUUUUUUAAGUCUGAUGUGAAAGCCUUCGGCUCAACCGAAGAAUUGCAUUGGAAACUGGAAGACUUGAGUGCAGAAGAGGAGAGUGGAACUCCAUGUGUAGCGGUG
rnacentral:rRNA from 1 species